UACUGACACUGAUUUUAUUUUUGACAAGGAACACUAGAAGGUUUAGUGACAGGAAUAACUAGGAGCACAAUUACAUUUCAGAAAAAGAAGAAGAUAAUUAGAGAGUACAAUAUUUAGUACAUAACAAUAGGACUAAUGCAUACAUAUUUAGUUCCCAGGUUGGUUGGUAAAGUGAACCUCCGGAGCUAUUCCUUGUCUUUGUGCUGUGAACAAAGGCGAUUGGUUUAACACAUUGAUAUCAUUAUUUGACCCAGCCACCCCAAAAAAUGCAUGCCAUAUCCACAAGUCAUGUGAGGCAACAGCUUCAAGCAUGACAGUCGGCACGCCAUGAUCACCUCGGGUGUACUGUCCUUUCCAUGCUACUGGACAGUUUUUCCACUCCCAAUGCAUGCAGUCAAUACUUCCCAACAUACCAGGGAACCCACAACAUAUGAUAGCAAUUCUACCCUACAUGAUUAGCACAAUGCAUACUGCCCGACAAAUCUAUGUCCCUCUACCAUAUAUGUCAUCAGAGAGGAAGUCUAGCAUUUUCUUUAAACUUGCUUUUUGUUCUUCACUGUAUGAAGAGGUGUCAAUCAUCAGCAAUUCCUUGUACUCCUUGAUUUUUUCCACCUUCACCUUCUCCUUCUCAGUUGCAGCAUGUUGAGCCAGUGCUUGAGCAUGUUCUCUUGCAGCUGCAGCCAUGUUAUCUAUUGCUGCUUUUUUUUCUACCUGGAGACCAUUGAAGUGUGCAACAUUUUCAUCUGAUAACCAGGUCUUACCCACCUUACCCUUUCCCUUCCGCUGUUCUUUCGCGGCUUUCUGCCCUUGUGGUCGACGACGUUCAGUUGCCUCAUCAGUGUCUCGAUUUGAAGAAGUGUAAGCUCCUGAGGCAGACACCUUGGUUCUCUUAUUCCUAAUAUCAGCAGCCACAUCUCGAUUAAGCCAUUUGGGUUCGUCCUUCACCACUUUCCACCAGUACUCAAAUGGGAAUGGCUUGUUAGUUUCCUUCACCCUUUUGUAUUCUGCAUGAACCUUCUCCAUUAUUUGCUCAUCUGAUCGGCCACUUUCAUAUGUGUUGCUUAUUUCUGUCCAACAUCCAUGGAACCUUGUGACAAGUGCAUUGAUUGUAUUAUAAUGGUUCUUGCAUUGUGUAGCUGUUCUUUUCCUGUCCUUAGGAGCAUAGUUGUUGUAUUCAGCAGCAACUUCGUUCCAGUAACGAGCUCCCGACUUUGAAUUGCCAUCAAUGGGGUCAUUUGAGUUGUUGAUCCAAGCACUUAAUAGACGCAGGAGGUAUUGGAGAGCUUACCGGUGAAGCUGAGCCCUCACAUCUUGAACCAUUGCCACCACCAACUCCAAACAAUGAUGCUGAAGCAACCGGUGAUGAAGGACCGCCAGUCAUAUCCGCACCAUGGAAAUUACCAUGGAAAGGAAUGCCUUGCUGAUAUCCUGAACUUGGGAGCUGCUGGAAACUUGGAUGACCUCCAAAUGAAUGGAAACUUUGUGGGUACAAGGGAGUUUGAAAGUUGGGACCAAACUGAUAGGGUGGAAAGUUCAUGGAAACAGAGAGCUGCAGGCCAUGCUGUUGGUUGUUUGUGUUCUGUUGAUUUGAACUUGCCAAUGCAGAGUUCAUCAUAUUUGUGAAACUAGGUCUAGAUGAGUUGUCCAUGUUUUAGAUGUAGUGUAUGAAUUGGUAUGUGUCCAAAGUUCUUGUAUAUAUGUAGGAGUAGGCGGAAGCAGGAGCCUGCCUGGGCCAACGGCUCCUUGGCCAACGGCCAUGUGCCCUGUAGACAUAUAAUAUUUUAUUGAACAGGAGAAGGAAUCGCAACGGCCAUAUGCUGCCAAUAUUAUUUUAA